GACGAACGCUGGCGGCGUGCUUAACACAUGCAAGUCGAACGGAAAGGCCCUGCUUGCAGGGUACUCGAGUGGCGAACGGGUGAGUAACACGUGGGUGAUCUGCCCUGCACUUCGGGAUAAGCCUGGGAAACUGGGUCUAAUACCGGAUAGGAGCCAUUUUUAGUGUGAUGGUUGGAAAGUUUUUUCGGUGUAGGAUGAGCUCGCGGCCUAUCAGCUUGUUGGUGGGGUAAUGGCCUACCAAGGCGGCGACGGGUAGCCGGCCUGAGAGGGUGGACGGCCACAUUGGGACUGAGAUACGGCCCAGACUCCUACGGGAGGCAGCAGUGGGGAAGAUUGCACAAUGGGCGCAAGCCUGAUGCAGCGACGCCGCGUGGGGGAGGACGGACUUCGGGUUGUAAACGCCUUUCGCUAGGGACGAAGCUUUUUGUGACGGUACCUAGAUAAGAAGCACCGGCUAACUACGUG
rnacentral:rRNA from 1 species